rnacentral:lncRNA from 1 species
CGCAGGUCCUGGCAGAGCUUCCUUUCUGCCCUACUAGCCACUGAGGCAGUGAGGCUGGAUUUAUUCUUCUGUUAUUCCUACCUAAGUGACAAUUGUGAUUCAUCCCAGCCUCAAGCAGUCGUGCUCCCAGACAACACCCCCAAGCAGCAGCACCCGAGCCUCGUUGCUGAACGUCUCGUCGACUCCAAGGAGCAUAGCACUGUUCAUGGCUGUGGGGCAACCCGCUCAGAGAUACUGUAUCGGGCCGGGUCAUUGGCAGCUGUUCUGACCUAUACAUAAGUGAGAGUGGGAUUCCCAGGCACUGGGUGGAUAUGUCAGGCUCCCAGCAAGAGGAGCAGUGGGCAGAGAUCUCAGCCAUUCUUUACUGAGCUGCAGAGGCACUGUGUGCAUGCUGGUGGGGAGGGAUGGGCCAUAUCUAUAUGGAUUUGUACGGUAUGAAUUGGGGAGCUGUAUCCAUUUAUGGGGCGUUAAUCUGACAUACAGAAUUGCCAG